GACUACGGCCAUAUCACGAUGAAUGCACCUCAUCCCGUCCGAUUUGAGAAGUUAAGCAUCGUCGAGCCACAUCAGUACUGAGGUUGGAGACAACUUGGGAACCUGUGGUUGCUGUAGUCU
rnacentral:rRNA from 1 species